rnacentral:rRNA from 1 species
UGGGGAAUAUUGCACAAUGGAGGGAACUCUGAUGCAGCGACGCCGCGUGAACGAAGAAGGCUUUCGAGUCGUAAAGUUCUUUUAUAUGGGAAGAUAAUGACGGUACCAUAAGAAAAAGCCCCGGCUAACUACGUGCCAGCAGCCGCGGUAAUACGUAGGGGGCUAGCGUUGUCCGGAAUCACUGGGCGUAAAGGGUUCGCAGGCGGAAAUGCAAGUCAGGUGUAAAAGGCAGUAGCUUAACUACUGUAAGCAUUUGAAACUGCAUAUCUUGAGAGGAGUAGAGGUAAGUGGAAUUUUUAGUGUAGCGGUGAAAUGCGUAGAUAUUAAAAAGAAUACCGGUGGCGAAGGCGACUUACUGGGCUCAUUCUGACGCUGAGUAACGAAAGCGUGGGUAGCAAACAGG